rnacentral:rRNA from 1 species
ACGGGUGAGUAAUACAUCGGAACGUGCCCUGUAGUGGGGGAUAACUAGUCGAAAGAUUAGCUAAUACCGCAUACGACCUGAGGGUGAAAGUGGGGGACCGCAAGGCCUCAUGCUAUAGGAGCGGCCGAUGUCUGAUUAGCUAGUUGGUGAGGUAAAGGCUCACCAAGGCGACGAUCAGUAGCUGGUCUGAGAGGACGAUCAGCCACACUGGGACUGAGACACGGCCCAGACUCCUACGGGAGGCAGCAGUGGGGAAUUUUGGACAAUGGGCGAAAGCCUGAUCCAGCAAUGCCGCGUGUGUGAAGAAGGCCUUCGGGUUGUAAAGCACUUUUGUCCGGAAAGAAAUGGCUCUGGUUAAUACCUGGGGUCGAUGACGGUACCGGAAGAAUAAGGACCGGCUAACUACGUGCCAGCAGCCGCGGUAAUACGUAGGGUCCAAGCGUUAAUCGGAAUUACUGGGCGUAAAGCGUGCGCAGGCGGUUGUGCAAGACCGAUGUGAAAUCCCCGAGCUUAACUUGGGAAUUGCAUUAGUGACUGCACGGCUAGAGUGUGUCAGAGGGGGGUAGAAUUCCACGUGU